UACAGAGGUCUCGAGCGUUAAUCGGAGUCACUGGGCUUAAAGGGUGCGUAGGCGGCGCUGCAAGUGCCUUGUGAAAUCCCACGGCUCAACCGUGGAAUUGCUUGGUAGACUGCAGUGCUUGAGGUUGGUAGGGGUCGCCGGAACUCUAGGUGGAGCGGUGAAAUGCGUAGAUAUCUAGAGGAACGCCGAAGGUGAAGACAGGCGACUGGGCCAAUUCUGACGCUGAGGCACGAAAGCGUGGGGAGCAAACGGG
rnacentral:rRNA from 1 species